CCAGUCUGGGGGUGGGGAGGGUGGCCAGGGACCGCUCGCGGCCAACCGGCCUGUCACCCUGUCCACCCUCCAGGCCACCCCACUGAGUCUGAGAGGACCCCUCCACCCAUCCGCUCCCCGGUCGGGGACCGGGGCUCUCCCAAAGGUUCAGGGUUGUGCCAAGUUCACGCAGUGCUGGAGUAGAUGCUCAUAGAUGAGGAACCUGCCACUCUGAGAGGGGCAGAAGCCUACGCAAGGUCUUACAGCCAGGGGGCCAGGGAGCCGGGAUCUGAAGCCAGACCAGAGAGCUGCACACAACGCCACUGAGCGACUGCCCACUGAGAAUUACACCUGCCACACAGGAGCCAGGAGCCGUGCCGGGCUCUUUCCGGGCUCACCCCGGCCCCUGAGGCAGAUGCACAGAUGAGGAAACUGAGGCACAGAGAAGGCAAGCCACUGAGCCACUCUGUGCCUGUUCGCUCGUCUCCAGAUGGACACAGGACAGCCCUGCGUACCGUCCGGUGUUGAUGAGGAUUGAGCAAGGAACCACAAAGACCGUUAAGAGACUGCCUCGCGCACAAGCCGAGUCCUGACCCUCCCGCCAGCCAGGCCCACGGCGCCUCACCGAGGACGUCCUUCCUGUGCAGAAAGGACACUUUGCGCAUGACGGCCAUCCUCGUCUUCUCCAGCCCGUCCCUGGUCCCGCUCUUUGCAGCCUUCAUGAGCUGGGUCAUCUGAGCAAAGGCAGAGGGGCUCAUCAGAGAAGCCGAAGGAGAGCCCAGGACGCCUGCUACCAAGGGCCACGCCGCCCCACGCAGGCCUCCCAGCCGGGGCCGCGCACAUCAUGACCCCAGGGCCCGUUCACUCCCAGGGACGGGGCGGCAGAGGCCAAGGGGGACAGCCAGGCAACGCCGCCCAAUGCAUCCCAGGAAGGGGUGAGAAGGGGCAUUUGUGCCCUGGAGAUCACCCCGGAGGAACCCUGUUUACUGGCAAAAGGAGGUCUUAACCCGAUGUCUCCCUUCGGGACAAAGUGCACGGGUAGGCGUCAAAUGAAGGCAGUGGCAUGACACAGGGGAAAGACCCGAGGCCUGGAGCGCCAGGCCUGGGUUCAAAUCCCAGCCGCGCCUCUUGGGACAAGUCACUUAGCCUCACUGAGCCUCAGUUUCCUCACUGAGAUGUGCGAGGGUCUAUGAGGACUAACGGGAGCCAGGGAAGCACGCUGGACAGUAAGAUGAUCCGCGCAAACGGCAGCGGUUACUUUGGGGGCAAGCAGAAGGGAGUUCACACCCCCACCCCAUCUGCCAAACCCAAGUGAGGCCCCCGUCCCUUGCCCCCCAAAGCAGCCAAGUUUCUGACUGCGCCGAGGCCCGGGAAGGGGAGGGAAGGCCGGAGCUGCCACGGAGCCGAGCACAGCUUCCCCGGCGUGGGGACGGACCGCGGCCACCACACCUCGCGGCAGGCAAAGCAGAUGUGAGGCGGGAGAAGACCCGCGCCCAGGAGGGGAAAGCCGCGAGCUGAGCACUGGGGGAGCCCGGGGCCCGCAAACAGAGCCGCUGUCCCAGAAGUUAUCCCUGCACUGCCCCUCCAGCCCCCAGCCCGGGCAUCUUCCCCGACACACAGUCAGCCCUAUCCCACAGAACUUUUCUCAGUGAUGGAAAUGCGGACUCUCGGUGUGCCCACAGGGGGUCCACCAGCCACCAGUUACUCCUGGGCCACCUGAAAAGCGGCUCUCGUCACUAAGGACCUGAAGUCCCGGUUAUAUUUCAUUGUAACUGAUUUAAACGUAAAGAACCACAUGACUAUCAUAAUGGGCAGCGCAGUUCUAGAACACUCUUUCCUUCCUGAAACUCUCUGCUGAAGGCGGAGAGCACUCCCCUGGGGGGCUCUGGUCCCUGCUAUCACCUUCCUCCAAGCAAACCCCCUGGUCCCCAGUGGAAGGGCCCCCGAGCAGCCGGCCUUGCCAAAAACCCAUGGGGCGUGAGGCCUGGGGCACGGGGUGGUGAUGGCUUUUCAGGAACAAUGCUGACUUCUGGAAACACCCCUCGCCCCCCCCCCCACACACCCUGCAGGAGGAAAGGGAAGUCCCCUGGGGCCUCCCUGCAUGGAAAUGGUAAAAUUCUUCAGUGGUGAUUCUUGGCUUCUAGGAGUGGGGCUCGGGGGUCAGAAACACCUGUGAUAAUCUAAGGGGAAGCACGGAUGUCCGACCCCAGAAACUACACAGAGAUGCUCGUCCACCUCUGGGGGUUGGGAGGGGUCACAAGCCCCAGAUUGGAAACCUCUGCUCUGAGCCCAGUUCCUUCCCGGAAGAAAGCUGGGGCAGGCGGCUAUCCUACAAACUCCCAAAGCGGUCUUCUCUUGCCGUCUUCCCGGGCAAAGAAGAGCAGCAAAUGAACACCCCGGAAGGUGUCCCCACCAUCAACCACGGUGCAGAGGCUGGACCAGGCGUCUGAUUCCAGGGUCACAGCCAGGGCAAGAACAGGGGUCAUAGAAUCUUCCCUUCAAGGCUCCCUCUCCUCUCUGGGCCUUCGCCUUCUGAGAAGAUAAACCUGCCCCCCUCAGGUCACAGGCCCCCCAAGGCGUGUGUAUAGGAACUAUAAAGUGCCUCCCCUCCCCCGCCACCUCCUCCUCCUCCUCCCCCUCCCCCUCCGGGGAGGCCUCGGGUUCUGAUGAAACAGGACGUGGCACAGGGUGGACAGCAGACCCCGGUUUGAAUCCCGGCUCUGCCACUGACCAGCGCCGUGACCAUCAGCCAGUUACUUCUCUCCAGCCUCACUGAUGCUAAAUGACAGCAGUAAGACAGCCCUGGGGACAAAACAGUCAGACUUCCUUACCCUGGAUCUCUCUGAACGGCUCAGGGCGGGAGGAACGUUCAGCAUCACUCACUAAGGCUCACAUCUCUCCAGGCGUCACCCAAACCCACCGCCACAGUUACCAAAUUUGCGGAUUCCUGGGCCUCGGUCCAGACCUACAGAAUCAGCAUCUCUGGGGGUGCAGCCCAGGAAUCUGCAUUCUCCAAAGCGCCCAGCCUAGUCAGGUCUGGAGAAAGCUGGAGCCCCCAAGCAGCCAGGCAGAAGGAGAGCAGGUGCGAGGAGCAGGCGGGACGGGAGGACACAGACAGGACAACAGAGGAGAAAGGAGACCAGGUGAGGUGGGACGGGGGGCCUGGGGAUGGCUCCCGCCGGGGAUCGGCUCCAGCAGCGUCCCACCCCAACGCGCAGGCAGCGGGGGCUGGGAGUCCUGGCUGCUGGGGGGCCGGGGGCAGGGGACCAGCCGGCCCCGCUCAGAGAAGGGGAACAGUGCCUAGAGGACAAGCACUGUGUCUCAGGCAUCCCCCCAUAUGCCAGGGGCCAGCGAGGGGCUGGUGACACAGGAGGUCCCUGGCAAGUCUGGGAGAUGGAUGGAUGGGCAGGUGCGUGGGCCAAUGCACAGGAAGACGGGUGAUGGACAGAGAGCUGGUUGGACAGACGGAUGGACUAUAAACAGAGGGAUGAGUGGUUGGAUGGACAGACAGAAAAAUGGCUGGAUGAGCAGAUGGAUAAACUUGGCUGGAGGACUGCAGAUCUGGGUAAAUGGACGGACAGAUGAACAAGAAGAUGGAUAAAAACCCGGGGGGACCAGGGGACGGAUGGAAGCAGUGCCGUGCCGGUAAAUAUUUAACACGCGCUUCUCCAGGAAAUAGACCCCUGCUUUGUUGGCUUUCCAUGAUGUCACUACGCCACCGUGGCAAAUUUCAAGCCACUAGUGUGACGUCGCUGAAUGCGGCGUCGGAAAGAGCGCGCAAUUGGUUCCUAGUUCUCGUGAGCUAGGAAGAGCGGACCCUGGCACGCCGCUGCAGGAAGGAGUGGGCAAACAGAGCACGGGACGGACGGAUGGACGGACGGAGGGCAGGUGGGCGUCUGGAUGGAAGGAGGGGUGGCUGACUAGCUUACACGCCACCUGGGAAGAUGGAUGGAUGUAGAGACAAACACAGACAUUCAAACGCGUGAGCCGUGUGAGCAACACUGACAUCCGGUGAAGCAUUCAGAACCCCAAGAAGGUACUACUUCCGGAGUAGACCAGGAAGGGGACCACGAGCAGGAGCGCUGGAGGCAGGCGGGCCUGGGUUCCAGUCGCCACCCCCCGCUCACUACCUGGAAUAGUGUCUUCACCUCUCGGAGGGACACCUUCCUCACUGGGAAAGCGGCCUGGAUGAUAACCACUUCCAGAGUUACUGAGAAGAUGGAAUGGGAAAUACGUGUAGACCCCAAGACUUAGCAAGCGCUCAAAACAUGGAAGCUAGUAUUACGCUA